CAUUUAAGUGUUUAACUACAUAGUUUCUAUGUAGUAAAUACAUGACAGACUAUGCAUAUCUGUGUCAAUCAAUGGAUAGUUUUUGCUUUUUAGCAUAGGAAAGGUUUCAUUGUGAACUGGACUGUGAAAAUUUGACACGACUCGGAAGAUUUUCUACAAUUUUCCGAUACGAUUCCUUAUUUAGAAAGGGGUGAAUUCUACAGA
rnacentral:lncRNA from 1 species